GAUGAACGCUGGCGGCGUGCCUAAUACAUGCAAGUCGAGCGAACAGACGAGGAGCUUGCUCCUCUGACGUUAGCGGCGGACGGGUGAGUAACACGUGGAUAACCUACCUAUAAGACUGGGAUAACUUCGGGAAACCGGAGCUAAUACCGGAUAAUAUAUUGAACCGCAUGGUUCAAUAGUGAAAGACGGUUUUGCUGUCACUUAUAGAUGGAUCCGCGCCGCAUUAGCUAGUUGGUAAGGUAACAGCUUACCAAGGCAACGAUGCGUAGCCGACCUGAGAGGGUGAUCGGCCACACUGGAACUGAGACACGGUCCAGACUCCUACGGGAGGCAGCAGUAGGGAAUAUUCAGCAAUGGGCGAAAGCCUGACGGAGCAACGCCGCGUGAGUGAUGAAGGUCUUCGGAUCGUAAAACUCUGUUAUUAGGGAAGAACAAAUGUGUAAGUAACUAUGCACGUCUUGACGGUACCUAAUCAGAAAGCCACGGCUAACUACGUG
rnacentral:rRNA from 1 species